UACAGAGGUCUCAAGCGUUUGUUCGGAAUUACUGGGCGUAAAGCGUGCGUAGACGGUUAUUUAAGUCGGGUGUGAAAGCCCCGGGCUCAACCUGGGAAUUGCAUUCGAGACUGAAUAGCUAGGGUACGGUAGAGGGAAGUGGAAUUUCCGGUGUAGCGGUGAAAUGCGUAGAUAUCGGAAGGAACAUCAGUGGCGAAAGCGACUUCCUGGACCAGUACCGACGUUCAGGCACGAAAGCGUGGGGAGCAAACAGG
rnacentral:rRNA from 1 species